rnacentral:tRNA from 1 species
UGGCUCACUUGGUAGAGCAUGGUGUGUGCAACGCCAGGGUUGUGGGUUCGAUUCCCAC